CUUCUGAAUCCUGACAGUCUGAUAACACUGAUUCACCAGUGCGUCUUUGCCGAUGGCCAGAGACUUUUGUUGUUCCAACAUUCUCCUACGAGGUGGAGUAUGCUCUAAGAGAGGGCAACUCUGCAUUUGUGAAAGAGGGAAAAACUGUCGGGUUGACCAGGGAUCAAAAACACAACAUACUAGAUGCGAUGGCUGGUGACAUAUAUACCAUAAAGCUUAUCCUAGCACCAAACAGAUUAGCAAAGCUGAGGCUCUGGUGAGCAAACACCCCUGCCUGAAUGAAAACGGAUCUAAAACUGGGUAUGAGGGUUGGAAGAACAGACUGCGCUUCAAGAUGGGCAACUACAGGACCAAACUGAGCAGGGCUGGCAUAAAGGAUGUAGCUGUGAAUGCAGGAAAGCGCAGCAAAACCAAUCCAGAGGGUGCAGGAGCAAAGACCAAAAUCCCCAAAGACCCAAAAGAGGGGAAGUGAACUUCCUUCCCAAUUAUCCCCAUGGAGAAACUAAGGAAACAUUGGAAACCCAGAGGAUUGAGAUGGUGGAGCAGUUCAAGAAGACAUCGAUGGAAAGGGACAUAUGCAGUGCACCUUUGCACUCAGGCGUGAAGAAAAUUGUGAAUUCAGCUCCUCCCAUUGCCGAACUAAAAGAGAGAUGGCCUGCACUCUUUUGUGAAGCUCAACUGUAUGGUGAAUUUCACAGAAUCACCAAUCAAAACCUACCAUUUUCCUUCUAUGCUGUACUUGCUGAGGGGUAUACAAAUAUACCCCAUAGCUGCUAGAACUGUACAAGAAGAGGAAGACUGGAAGUUUUGGCGAGAAGAUGGAAGAUGUUUUGAUGGCAUAUAGGACAAAAACAUCACUCCGGCUAGAACAGCAGCCCUGGCCGGCCUGCAACUGUAUUUAAACGAGGAUUCAUCAGAGGUCUUCAAAACUUGCAAGGAUGAGUUGGAAGCAACCCAAGAGGGGGCAGUGGCUCUGGUGGCAGUGGUAAAUGAAGAUAAGGUUUCUGCAGGAGUUCCCUUUGAAACUCACCAUGUGUCUAUCGUCCUCGAGAAUCAGGUUGCAAUGGCUCACAGAUCUUGGACAGAUUCACUUGUCAUUUUGUGUGGACUGAUCUAUGCUCUCCAUUUGAGCUACCCUGAGAAACUCAGUGGCUUCUUUGAGUUCAUCCAGGUUGUCUUCCUGAAUCUUGAUGAUGGGAGAAAGCAGCUCACACCUAAGUUACAGGCCUUGAGAAAUGAGCUGGAGUAAAUUGACAAACAGGUUUUGUUGUUCAAGGUCAGCAUGUUUUGUUUUGGCUUGCGAGCCUAACAUAGUUAAACAAGUGAGAAACUUCGGGCAUUUUACUGCUGAUAAUAAUUUGUGUACAUUGAACUAAUGACCCCUCAGUUCUUUUCAAUUUGGAUUUUUGUGUGUUUUAAUAUAUAAUGUGCAAAUCACUGAACAAGGAUACAAGACUUGUUGAUUCUAGUUCUAUUCUAUUUAGUUUGAUUGCGUAGUUUUUUCUACAAUAUGUUUGUGCAUUAUGUGAGUUAUUCACACUUUCUGCAUUACCACAUGGAAAAAACAUGUUUCAUUGUACACAUAAAUGUGUAUGACAUUUAAUUCACCAGCUUCAGUGUGUAACAUUAUGGACACUGUUACUCAAGGGUGCACAAAUUGAACAAAGUGUUCUAAAUCAGGUAAUUACAGUAAAUAGAUGUGCCUUAACUGUUGGGUAUGAAUACAAGAACUGGCUGCUUGCAGGAGUGCAGAACAGUUUGGGGAAGAGGCAGUGUAAUAAUAAUAGAGCAUAAUAUCAAUCUUCAAGGCCACAGCAAGCUCAACAAUAUGCUUUAUUAGUUUUGCAUUGCCUCCUUCCCCAAAUUGUUCCCCUCUUCCGCAAGCAGCUACAUGUGUAUCUGCUCCAGGAGGGCUUUCUAGUAUCGCUGGCAUCAUUAUUAUAGUUAAGUCAGCAAUUAAAUCAGCUAUUAAAAUGUACAUGACAGUUUAUGUAAGGUACCACACAAAUUGCACGUGUAUGGGAAAUUUGGUAGACUUUUUUUGGACCUUAAACCAGCAGGUAACUUUAGAAUACAAUGGACUAUGCAGAAUUAUUUUAUUGUAGUGUGAAAGAGGCCACAGAUCAUAAUCCUUAGUAUCCAAAAUAUUUACAAAGGAAGCUGAUGAGUAAAAUGGAUGGAAAAAGUUUGAUUUGUUGAUGAUUUGAGUGACUUAGAUCAGUAGUGGAUUUGCUGGGGGGAGGGAAUUAAGGUUAAAGAAAUACAAAAGUAAGUGUAGAUUAUUACAGUUUCUUCUUAGAGUUGUAAACAUUGAAAUGUGUAUUCAGUUGAGAGCAUUCAACUAAAUAA